rnacentral:misc_RNA from 1 species
UGGUUCUGGCAUCGAUGAAGAACGCAGCGAAAUGCGAUAAGUAAUGUGAAUUGCAGAAUUCAGUGAAUCAUCGAAUCUUUGAACGCACAUUGCGCCCAUUAGUAUUCUAGUGGGCAUGCCUGUUCGAGCGUCAUUUCAACCCCUAAGCACAGCUUAUUGUUGGGAACCUACGGCUUCGUAGUUCCUCAAAGACAUUGGCGGAGUGGCAGUGGUCCUCUGAGCGUAGUAAUCUUUUAUCUCGCUUCUGUUAGGUGCUGCCCCCCCGGCCGUAAAACCCCCAAUUUUUUCUGGUUGACCUCGGAUCAGGUAGGAAUACCCGCUGA